CUGCUGUAACACACAUAUUACAAGUAGAACAACAAAGAGAAGACAUGCAUGGUCCCUGGGCAGUGAGGACAUAGAAAUUUAUGAAGUGUUUAAUAUUUUU
rnacentral:snRNA from 1 species